rnacentral:lncRNA from 1 species
AUUCUUUCUUGUGUGAGAUCCAAGAACCCUCUCUUAGGGUCUAGAUUGGCACUUCUUUCUGGUAACAUCUUCCUGGUGACCAUGAAGGGACAACACUGAAGAGAUGCUUGACCUGGAGGAAAUAGACUACAGCACCAAUUGGCCAACUUCGGGUAACUGUUGGGGUACAUUUUACCCAGGUAAAGGAUGGAAUUGGGUUAGAUGCCCAACUUAGAGGAGUCAGAGCUGCUUCUAAGACAGUGCGGGUUAAAGGACCCUCUUAAUAAAAGGGUGACCAUCUUGCCCAGAGACCACAUGUUGAAACUCCUGGCCAGCGGUUGGAUGAAAGAUGACAGGGUCCAUCCAGGAGCAAGUUUGAGCCUUGCCAGUUCCAUUUUGGGUGCUGAGCAGAGUGGCUACUAUAACGAACCUGCUUCCGAGAAACUCAGAGUCAAACUUGAAUUCCACCACUGCAAAGAGCACAGGACCCUGAGGCAAACGUUGUAUAUUCCCAAGUCAUCCCUGGCACCACCUUCAUUUACUGCACCAGGCUUUCUUCACUGUGAUGAUGUUCUCUCUCUCUCUUUUAAUCCUGUUUUACUCUGCACAUUUCUGCAAGCCACAAAAGUACUCCUUGAAGAAUGGAUAACAUAUAAACAAGUGAACAAACAAAUCAGACAGGUGACUUUUGGCCUUCUUCCAAGUGAUGUGCCAUGAAGAACUUCUACUGAGUUCUACAAGAGCAUUCUGGGAGUGUUUCCCAAGACAAAGCUGACUUCUAGGUAGCUAUGGGGAGUGCCUACAAGCCUGGGCUGCAGUGAAAGUCAACAGGAUGGACUGGAAGAGCCAGAAGUCUGUGUGGGAAGUGUCAGCCCCUUCCUGCUGCUUCCUUCCCUUGGUUGGG